GUCCUAGCGGUAACGUUGGGCACUAGGUGUUGUCCCUUAACCGGGCAGUGCCGCAGUUAACACAUUAAGUGCCCCGCCUGGGGAGUACGACCGCAAGGUUGAAACUCAAAGGAAUUGACGGGGCCCGCACAAGCGGUGGAGUAUGUGGUUUAAUUCGACGCAACGCGAAGAACCUUACCUGGGCUUGACAUCCCGAUGAAAACCUACGAGAUUAGGUCCCCCAGCGAUGGGUAUCGGGACAGGUGCUGCAUGGCUGUCGU
rnacentral:rRNA from 1 species